AAGCGGAAACGGAGUCUGAGGGGUGAAGUUAACUGGCUCGCUCUCGAUUACAGCUCAGUUCACAGACAAUCUGAAGUCAUCCCCACCCCCUCUACCCACAGAAGGUGAAGAAGUUGAAGUCAGGACAAUGUGCAGACCACGCUUUGGAGGUGUUUCAUUAUACAGGGAAGCAGGGAGGUGGCACAGUAACUAAGGAGACGUGAGGUCAAGCUGAUGAAGACAAGCCGUAACGGGUACCAGCUGACGAAGAACAACUUACAGAAGAAACAUUUAACCUGAAAAGUCUUUUCCAUUUCCCUGCAGAACUUCUUGGAGUCUUCAAGAUGGUCUCCAAGGGGGAAGUAACAGACUUCCUGAGCUCCUGUGACCACAGCAUCCUUUCAACAUGGUUGUAAUGUUUGGAGGACAGAGUUUGGGAAACACUGAUAUCAGAAACUUGUGAAGGUAAAGGUGUUUCUUAAGAGGAGUCCUGGCUGGUGUUAACAUGGUCAGAGGAGUAGGUGCUAGAAUAAAUUACAGGCGUUGACAGACCUACUAGCUGGAGAGUGAACCUCACCACUCAGCUUCUGAUGACCAUGAAAAAGAGGGGGAGAUAAGGAUGGUGAUGGGAUCAAGAAAGUAUGAAAAAAGGAAAAUCUCAAAACUUAUUUCCCAGUUAGUAUCGUACUAACUGCAAGAUCCUUUCCCAGAAAUCAACAUUUAUCUAAAGCUUCCAUUUGGAGUUGGCUGGGCCUGAUUGAAAGACAGCCCUGAUUUGCCCCUUUGGAUUAUUUGAGGAAUGAGCAGAGUGUAUCUAAAAUGAAGCUUGUGAUGGACUUCCCUGGUGGCACAGUGGUUAAGAAUCCACCUGCCAAUGCAGGAGACACUGGUUCGAGCCCUGAUCCGGGAAGAUCCCACGUGCUGCAGAGUAACUAAGCCUG